rnacentral:misc_RNA from 1 species
UACGUACUGGGCGAACGUUAUUCGGUAUCACUGGGCUUAAAGCGUGCGUAGGCGGCCUGGCAGGUGAGAUGUGAAAGCCCACGGCUCAACCGUGGAACUGCGUUUCAAACCGCUAGGCUGGAGGAUGGCAGGGGUGAUGGGAACUGAUGGUGGAGCGGUGAAAUGCGUUGAUAUCAUCAGGAACACCGGUGGCGAAAGCGCAUCACUGGGCCAUUUCUGACGCUGAGGCACGAAAGCUAGGGUAGCGAACGGG